AUUGAACGCUAGCGGGAUGCCUUACACAUGCAAGUCGAACGGCAGCGCGGACUUCGGUCUGGCGGCGAGUGGCGAACGGGUGAGUAAUGUAUCGGAACGUGCCCAGUAGCGGGGGAUAACUACUCGAAAGAGUAGCUAAUACCGCAUACGCCCUACGGGGGAAAGGGGGGGAUCGCAAGACCUCUCACUAUUGGAGCGGCCGAUAUCGGGUUAGCUAGUUGGUGAGGUAAAGGCUCACCAAGGCGACGAUCCGUAGCUGGUUUGAGAGGACGACCAGCCACACUGGGACUGAGACACGGCCCAGACUCCUACGGGAGGCAGCAGUGGGGAAUUUUGGACAAUGGGCGCAAGCCUGAUCCAGCCAUUCCGCGUGCAGGAUGAAGGCCUUCGGGUUGUAAACUGCUUUUGUACGGAACGAAACGGCUCUAACACAGUCCGGGAAUGACGGUACCUGAAGAAUAAGCACCGGCUAACUACGUGCCAGCCGCCGCGGUAA
rnacentral:rRNA from 1 species